CCUACGGGCGGCUGCAGUGGGGAAUAUUGGACAAUGGGCGAAAGCCUGAUCCAGCCAUGCCGCGUGUGUGAAGAAGGCCUUCGGGUUGUAAAGCACUUUCAGUGGGGAAGAAAGCCUUGGGGCUAAUACCCUCGAGGAAGGACAUCACCCACAGAAGAAGCACCGGCUAACUCCGUGCCAGCAGCCGCGGUAAUACGGAGGGUGCGAGCGUUAAUCGGAAUUACUGGGCGUAAAGCGCGCGUAGGCGGUCUGAUAAGCCGGUUGUGAAAGCCCCGGGCUCAACCUGGGAACGGCAUCCGGAACUGUCAGGCUAGAGUGCAGGAGAGGAAGGUAGAAUUCCCGGUGUAGCGGUGAAAUGCGUAGAGAUCGGGAGGAAUACCAGUGGCGAAGGCGGCCUUCUGGACUGACACUGACGCUGAGGUGCGAAAGCGUGGGUAGCAAACAGGAUUAGAUACCCCAGAGUC
rnacentral:rRNA from 1 species